AGUACAAUAAUUUUAUUUUUUGUUAUGGCGAUUAAAGAACCGGGACAAGCGAGAGCAUAAGAAAUAUUUCUUACAUUACAGCGGCCUACAUAUUCACACGGCGAGGAUGACAGCCACUGCCGGUUAUCAAAUAUGAACACAACAAAGAACCAGCAACAUACCAGACGCAUUUUCAUAGCACAUCAUAAUCAAUGAAAAUCAUUAAAAAAUGGGUGCACGAAAUGCCAUACGUUUGUCACCACAUACAUAUAAAAAUAACAUAUAUUAAAGAGAAAUCAGAAAAUUACACCUUAAGCAAUGAAAGUAAACGUCAGUCAGUGACUAUAAACGUAUACAUGUAGAAAGAUGCAGCUCAGACAGAUGAUGAUAUAGACAGUGACGAAUUGCCUCAAGCUAUUUUAUGCCGGUGCUGUCGUCACGUGUAGGUGUCGUGCAAAAUGAAAUAAAUAAAAACAACAGAGUGACAGAACCAUGUUUUUGUGGUCACACUUGUGUCGGUCGGUUAAGAAAAUCAACGUUCCUUUAUUGUUUCUCGUUUUUUUUUUGUGAUUGUCACUGCUAGUAACCUGCAUUUUUUUUUAAUUUAUCAUAAUUAACCCAGUGCUUCCUGCUCAGGUAGUUGAGGCAUGCGUGGCAUGCCUCAUGCAUGGGCUUAAGUUCCGUGGCUUCGUAUACAAGUCAUUGGUUACGUCUUUGAGUAUAAACAUGUCUCGUGUAUGUGUACUCACAUUUCCUGCGUUCGAUACAGUAAUGUGCCUUUGCGACUACUCUGGGACAUUUCAAAGCACUGGUAUUUACUUGUGUCUGUACAUGUACUUGUAAUUGUACUCGAACUUACUUGUGUUUGUUUCCGUAUGCAUGUUUACCUUUUCUGUGUUCCUGGAUUCAUGUGCAGGGUUGUUUCCAAAGUGAUUUACUACCUUCUUUUAUGCAUCUUUGACAUACUUCGUGACGAACUUCAAGGCAACGUUUUUGCUGCUGAUAGGUGAGGCGUCGUCGUGGAUGCCUAAAGCGGCCAGCCUGUGUCAUUGCAUGUCAUUCCAAAUAACCCGAUGCCGAUUUGUACAAAUAUUUCUUAUGCUUUUGAGCAUAAGAUACAAAGACAAUGUAGGGUUAAACUUCGGGGUUUUAUACAAGCUAAAGAUCUAAUGCGUUGUCUUUCCCGAGCAGACCUUUCAGAGCUUUAGAGUGUUAUUUUGUUAUUUCAUUGUUACUUGUCAUUUGUCAUUAUUUGUUAUUUCAUUGCUAUUUGUUAUUUCAUUGUCUUUACUGUUAUUUCUCCACUCAUUGCCACUUUGUUUUACUCUUAAUAUUACUUUUAAUAGGCAAUGUUAAGUAUAACCAGCCGUUCGUUAUGCCAUAAGGAUUAGUUCCAGUCGCGACGGACUGCAGUACGACACCUCCUGAUAUUGUUGCCAUCAGCAGCUGGUCUUUUUUUAUCGUUUUACAGUGACUAAGAAACAAUAUGCAACAAAGUUCCCCGUAAUGCUCUUUCUCUUGUACUACUUUUGUUGCUAAUGCCCGCCCCUCCACUCUUACGCUAUGUCCCCAAAAAUGGUCCAUAAAAAGAACUGAAGUUAUUAGGUGAUGAGGACGCAAGGAUAGCGUGAGCCACCAGCAACAACUGACAAUGGCCCCCAAAACGAUGGAGAUAACGUUGGCUGGCUAUGGACGUCCGAUAGGGGCGAGGCAGUUGCGCUCUUCUACGUUUCGACUCUGGCGCCAUGGACAAAUGCGGCGUUCGUUAUUUCACAAAAUAAACAGCGCAGCCAGCUGUUCCACCUCACGCCAACUAAUUACAUAGUCGCAAGAAAAUCGAAUCUGGAAUCGAUGGUGUUAAACCGCCACGUCUGCACCUAUUGUCUAACUGCACAGACAAAGUUGUUAACCACCAUGUCUUCCGAAGAUAAUUUGAGUUGUGCUAUGGUAUGAUGAUGCCAAGGAAAGUAUAGGGGAAGUUUUUUUUUUUUUUUAUAGUAAAUGUAAAGUAAUUGUGAAGAAAGAAAAGUGGACGAAAAGAUAGCUUGCCGCGGGCAGGGACCGAACCUGCGACCUUCGAAUAACGCGUCCGAUGCUCUACCAACUGAGCUACCGCGGCGGCCAUCCCCCCGUCCACUUUAUAGGGUAUAUAUGUGAAUUUAAACGUGGGAGCGUCAGUCAGCGCCGCCAGUAGCCAUGACGGCGAGUGUGGAACACUCUUUCUCUGCCUGUUGGCGUCACGUAGCACGUGAACUUAUUACGAGCUGGCAGCUGACCAAUAAUCCCUCGCAUACUACCUGAAAGCAUCAAGUCUGCCAGAACGAGACCCUCGCUAUGAAUGAAGGAAAGAAGUGUUAAUUUCAAGGGCUCGUUUUCUUUGUUAUACACAAUAUUAAUGAGAACUAACAGACAAUAAUGCCAAGGAAAGUAUAGGGGAAGUUUUUUUUUUUUUUUUUUUUUAGUAGUAAAUGUAAAGUAAUUGUGAAGAAAGAAAAGUGGACGAAAAGAUAGCUUGCCGCGGGCAGGGACCGAACCUGCGACCUUCGAAUAACGCGUCCGAUGCUCUACCAACUGAGCUACCGCGGCGGCCAUCCCCCCGUCCACUUUAUAGGGUAUAUAUGUGAAUUUAAACGUGGGAGCGUCAGUCAGCGCCGCCAGUAGCCAUGACGGCGAGUGUGGAACACUCUUUCUCUGCCUGUUGGCGUCACGUAGCACGUGAACUUAUUACGAGCUGGCAGCUGACCAAUAAUCCCUCGCAUACUACCUGAAAGCAUCAAGUCUGCCAGAACGAGACCCUCGCUAUGAAUGAAGGAAAGAAGUGUUAAUUUCAAGGGCUCGUUUUCUUUGUUAUACACAAUAUUAAUGAGAACUAACAGACAAUAAUGCCAAGGAAAGUAUAGGGGAAGUUUUUUUUUUUUUUUUUUUUUUUU